UUGAAGAGUUUGAUCAUGGCUCAGAUUGAACGCUGGCGGCAGGCCUAACACAUGCAAGUCGAACGGUAACAGGAAACAGCUUGCUGUUUCGCUGACGAGUGGCGGACGGGUGAGUAAUGUCUGGGAAACUGCCUGAUGGAGGGGGAUAACUACUGGAAACGGUAGCUAAUACCGCAUAACGUCGCAAGACCAAAGAGGGGGACCUUCGGGCCUCUUGCCAUCGGAUGUGCCCAGAUGGGAUUAGCUAGUAGGUGGGGUAACGGCUCACCUAGGCGACGAUCCCUAGCUGGUCUGAGAGGAUGACCAGCCACACUGGAACUGAGACACGGUCCAGACUCCUACGGGAGGCAGCAGUGGGGAAUAUUGCACAAUGGGCGCAAGCCUGAUGCAGCCAUGCCGCGUGUAUGAAGAAGGCCUUCGGGUUGUAAAGUACUUUCAGCGGGGAGGAAGGGAGUAAAGUUAAUACCUUUGCUCAUUGACGUUACCCGCAGAAGAAGCACCGGCUAACUCCGUGCCAGCAGCCGCGGUAAUACGGAGGGUGCAAGCGUUAAUCGGAAUUACUGGGCGUAAAGCGCACGCAGGCGGUUUGUUAAGUCAGAUGUGAAAUCCCCGGGCUCAACCUGGGAACUGCAUCUGAUACUGGCAAGCUUGAGUCUCGUAGAGGGGGUAGAAUUCCAGGUGUAGCGGUGAAAUGCGUAGAGAUCUGGAGGAAUACCGGUGGCGAAGGCGGCCCCCUGGACGAAGACUGACGCUCAGGUGCGAAAGCGUGGGGAGCAAACAGGAUUAGAUACCCUGGUAGUCCACGCCGUAAACGAUGUCGACUUGGAGGUUGUGCCCUUGAGGCGUGGCUUCCGGAGCUAACGCGUUAAGUCGACCGCCUGGGGAGUACGGCCGCAAGGUUAAAACUCAAAUGAAUUGACGGGGGCCCGCACAAGCGGUGGAGCAUGUGGUUUAAUUCGAUGCAACGCGAAGAACCUUACCUGGUCUUGACAUCCACGGAAGUUUUCAGAGAUGAGAAUGUGCCUUCGGGAACCGUGAGACAGGUGCUGCAUGGCUGUCGUCAGCUCGUGUUGUGAAAUGUUGGGUUAAGUCCCGCAACGAGCGCAACCCUUAUCCUUUGUUGCCAGCGGUCCGGCCGGGAACUCAAAGGAGACUGCCAGUGAUAAACUGGAGGAAGGUGGGGAUAACGUCAAGUCAUCAUGGCCCUUACGACCAGGGCUACACACGUGCUACAAUGGCGCAUACAAAGAGAAGCGAUCUCGCGAGAGCAAGCGGACCUCAUAAAGUGCGUCGUAGUCCGGAUUGGAGUCUGCAACUCGACUCCAUGAAGUCGGAAUCGCUAGUAAUCGUGGAUCAGAAUGCCACGGUGAAUACGUUCCCGGGCCUUGUACACACCGCCCGUCACACCAUGGGAGUGGGUUGCAAAAGAAGUAGGUAGCUUAACCUUCGGGAGGGCGCUUACCACUUUGUGAUUCAUGACUGGGGUGAAGUCGUAACAAGGUAACCGUAGGGGAACCUGCGGUUGGAUCACCUCCUU
rnacentral:rRNA from 1 species